UGGCUCAGAACGAACGCUGGCCGCAGGCUUAACACAUGCAAGUCGAGCGCCCCGCAAGGGGAGCGGCAGACGGGUGAGUAACACGUGGGUAAUCUGCCUCUGGGUGGGGAAUAACUCUGGGAAACCGGAGCUAAUACCGCAUAAGCCUGAAAGGGGAAAGGCGAAAGUCGCCGAGAGAGGAGCCCGCGGCUGAUUAGCUUGUUGGUAAGGUAAUGACUUACCAAGGCGACGAUCAGUAGCUGGUUUGAGAGAACGAUCAGCCACACUGGAACUGAGACACGGCCCCCACUCCUACGGGAGGCAGCAGUGGG
rnacentral:rRNA from 1 species